GCUACCAUGCAGUCGAGGGGCAGCAUGAACUUAGCCUUGCUAAGCUUUGAUGGCGACCGGCGCACGGGCUGAGUAACACGAUAUCCAACCUGCCGAUGACUCGGGGAUAGCCUUUCGAAAGAAAGAUUAAUACCCGAUGGCAUAGUUCUUCCGCAUGGCUAGAACUAUUAAAGAAUUUCGGUCAUCGAUGGGGAUGCGUUCCAUUAGGUUGUUGGCGGGGUAACGGCCCACCAAGCCUUCGAUGGAUAGGGGUUCUGAGAGGAAGGUCCCCCACAUUGGAACUGAGACACGGUCCAAACUCAUACGGGAGGCAGCAGUGAGGAAUAUUGGUCAAUGGACGAGAGUCUGAACCAGCCAAGUAGCGUGAAGGAUGACUGNCCCUAUNGGGUUGUAAACUUCUUUUAUACGGGAAUAAAGUGAGGCACGUGUGCCUUUUUGUAUGUACCCGUAUGAAUAAGGAUCGGCUAACUCCGUGCCAGCAGCCGCGGUAAUACGGAGGAUCCGAGCGUUAUCCGGAUUUAUUGGGUUUAAAAGGGAGCGUAGGCGGACGCUUAAGUCAGUUGUGAAAGUUUGCGGCUCAACCGUAAAAUUGCAGUUGAUACUGGGUGUCUUGAGUACAGUAGAGGCAGGCGGAAUUCGUGGUGUAGCGGUGAAAUGCUUAGAUAUCACGAAGAACUCCGAUUGCGAAGGCAGCUUGCUGGACUGUAACUGACGCUGAUGCUCGAAAGUGUGGGUAUCAAACAGGAUUAGAUACCCUGGUAGUCCACACAGUAAACGAUGAAUACUCGCUGUUUGCGAUAUACAGUAAGCGGCCAAGCGAAAGCGUUAAGUAUUCCACCUGGGGGAGUACGCCGGCAACGGUGAAACUCAAAGGAAUUGACGGGGGCCCGCACAAGCGGAGGAACAUGUGGUUUAAUUCGAUGAUACGCGAGGAACCUUACCCGGGCUUGAAUUGCAACUGAAUGAUGUGGAGACAUGUCAGCCCCAAGGCAGUUGUGAAGGUGCUGCAUGGNUUGUCGUCAGCUCGUGCCGUGAGGUGUCGGCUUAAGUGCCAUAACGAGCGCAACCCUUAUCGAUAGUUACCAUCAGGUUAUGCUGGGGACUCUGUCGAGACUGCCGUCGUAAGAUGUGAGGAAGGUGGGGAUGACGUCAAAUCAGCACGGCCCUUACGUCCGGGGCUACACACGUGUUACAAUGGGGGGUACAGAAGGCAGCUACACGGCGACGUGAUGCUAAUCCCUAAAGCCUCUCUCAGUUCGGAUUGGAGUCUGCAACCCGACUCCAUGAAGCUGGAUUCGCUAGUAAUCGCGCAUCAGCCACGGCGCGGUGAAUACGUUCCCGGGCCUUGUACACACCGCCCGUCAAGCCAUGAAAGCCGGGGGUACCUGAAGUGCGUAACCGCAAGAGCGCCCUAGG
rnacentral:rRNA from 1 species